GAUGAAGAACGCAGCGAAAUGCGAUAAGUAAUGUGAAUUGCAGAAUUCCAGUGAGUCAUCGAAUCUUUGAACGCACAUUGCGCCCUUUGGUAUUCCGAAGGGCAUGCCUGUUCGAGCGUCAUUAUCACCCCUCAAGCCCUCGGCUUGGUGUUGGACGGUUUGGUGGAGGCCCCCUCGGGGGCUCCUGCCCCUCCCAAAGACAAUGACGGCGGCCUCGUUGGACCCCCGGUACACUGAGUUCUUCACGGGACACGUAUCGGACACAUGGGUUUACGGGACACGGUCUGCCUCCCCUCAAGGGAGAAUCUUUCUAAGGUUGACCUCGGAUCAGGUAGGGAUACCCGCUGAACUUAAGCAUAUCAAUAAGCGGAGGA
rnacentral:misc_RNA from 1 species